UUACACAGUUAUGAAAGACCCCCAGAAUGGGGAGACCCUCACUCAAGUCUCGGGAUAAGCCGAUGCCCCAAUAAUUCAAGAGAGAUC
rnacentral:pre_miRNA from 11 species